rnacentral:misc_RNA from 1 species
UUUUGGCCUUUUCUUCCUCGCGUUUGCGUUCCUUCUCUUUAGCCUUUUCCUGCAAGUGUGCAACAUAUUCUUCAAAAAUCUCUCUGCUUAAACUCUCUUCCCCAAUUGAUCUAUACUCCUGGCUUUCUUCAAAAAGUUGUUUGGAAUCAUCCCAACUAGAAGAUGCAGUUAUCUCCUUGUAAGUAUACAAUAAUUUAGUGAAGUCAUCAGCAAGCCGUUGCCGCUUUUUAGCUUCUUUCUCCUCCUUCUCCUUGGCUCUUUCAAGUAGCUCAUCAUAUAAAAGCUUCAGGUUUAUUUCUGAUAUUGGUGGGGAACUAACAUCAUCAGAAAGAGCAGCUUUAAAGUCUUCAAAUGUCCAUGUUGAUGACAAGUUAAUCUUCCCCGUUUUCAUUGCAUCCUUUAUACGAGUUUUAUCAUCAUGGUACUGUUUCUCUAACUCUUCAGCAACACCAU